GCCCGGCUAGCUCAAUCGGUAGAGCGUGAGACUCUUACGCCUAAAUAAGCGAAGGUCCACAUAUCUCAAGGUUGUGGGUUCGACCCCCACGUCGGGCU